UUGAGUUGACUUAGUAGGUUGAAAAUCGACUUUGUUAUUAGCUUAGGUUGGGUUGAAUUUCCAGUCUUCGGGCCCGGAGUUCAUCCUGAGGCCGAGGUACGUAGUGACGUCUCUUGCUGGGCCUUUGAUAAGGAAUGGUCGGUUUGUUAGUCUUAAUCCAGCGACUGGCCUUGCUCCGAGCGAUAUCCGAAGUAUGGUUCGCUCGCUAGUUAUAUGCUUAACACAUGCAUCUGAGGUCAGAGGUGCCGCUAAGGUUAACUAUCUCAAUCUACAACUCAAUGUGAUUGGCUUCGUCCGGGCUCAGUCUCUUCCGGCCGCCUCAUCCUACUUACUCCACUCGCUAUGUUUUGCUGCCAAACGGACUCUCCCGGGGGUUUUCCCGUGAAUGUAAUGCUUAGCAACCCGUGCGCCCCUACCCGAGAGGCAAGCUUGGCGGCGCGAGUGAUGCGGUAACAAGCCGAAUCCAAAGUACCUCGACGCAAAUUGCAUAAAUAGAAAAGAGGUGCCUAUCCGCUCAUCAAGUAAAGAAAGGCAUCGAUACAUCGAGGACCAGGGCGGUGGGGUGGGGAAGUAAAUGAAAUUCUUCUAUCGUCACAACCCCUUUUCUCGAAGCUGACUCAAUUUUCUUUCUUUAAGGGAGGGCGAUACUCUGAUAGCUGAAGGGCGGUCCUUUUCAAAUCUAACUCGAAUGUUCGAGCUAAUGUAACGGCUGUUUCCGGUAGUUGGAGUUGCCUUGAUGUCAGAAAGGUGCCCAGUUCAGAAGGUGCGAAAGAAUGGCUAUUCUCUUGCUCGUGAUUCUUGGGGGGGUCGUAGAUGGAAAAAUGGGUUCGACUCCCAUAGCCCCGAUGUGGCGAAAAAGACUGAUUCAACGAGAUAUGCCUUGCCUGCAUUAAGAUUUAAAACUUGUCGUCUACUUUCAGGAAAUGUUUGGAAGAGAGAACUUACAAUAAUACAACGCCGCAUUCUCCGAAGAUUGAGGAACAAGAAGAAAGAUAUUAAGAGAAAGAUUUCUUCGAGAGAAAAUCUUAACAGUUACAUCCAAUUACAAACUACACGAAAGUUGUCCCUUUUUUAUGGGGAUUUACCCAUCACAGAGAUGCACAGAGGAACAGA
rnacentral:misc_RNA from 1 species